AAGUUUGGCACAGUAAUUGGUACACUCUCUGCGGAUGACUGAAAAACCCGGCAUAGCCUGCAACCCUCCCAUUCCUUAACUGCCUGGUUCCAAGACCGAUCUGUUUAUAGCAGUGUUUGACAAAAAUAAGUAGGUAACAAAAAAUAAAUAAAUAAUAGAUCACGUUAUAAACUGUAAAAAAAGAAAACACCUUUUGGUUUUGAAGGCACCAUUUGCAGUGUUUAUUUGGGAGCUAAAGCCGAGUGGCACGCCAUCACCAACACCUCAGACAACAUCAGAUUAUUUGUGUAAUGUCAGCCUGUUAUUGGAUGCUUUUGUCAGGCAUGCUUGUUUUGCCCAGUAGAUCAGGUGUUUAUCAUUCCAGAAUAUACCAAUAUCCCUGGUGGCCGUCCCUGGCGGCUGUCCCCAGCUCCCACCUGUAGGGAGUAAAAAAGAAAGUUUACUUUCCUUUUCUCUCUUGCAGUGCCUGUCUUAGUCUUUAUUAGAAUACAACCAGAAAAUACAGGAAAUAUGUAUGCAGGAGAGGUUUUGGUGGAAAAAAAAGGAGUAGGAGGCCAAGAAAACGUUCAAAAUCUGAUAAGAAGAAAC